AUGUGCACUUCAAAAGAGGUCGCUGUCCCUGGAAAGGAGCUCAGAGGACAUUUGAAAACAUGCAAGUGGCUGUUGAUUUGGACAGACACGGUGCUGUGUGUACCCAGAAUGCACCACAGAGGCCUGGGGAGUGUUCAAGGCAUGAACUUGAAGCGGCUGUGUCCACAGAGUGGAUCAGACCACAAGCUCAUCCUCCACAAGGCUCAGCAGCACCAGCCUCGGAAAGGUCAGAUCACCAAGGGGAGUCUCCGUUUACGUUGGGAAAACCAAACCCACAGAUGGAGCAGUGUGUCCCACUCCACGUGGGCACUGCCGGUGAUGAGGCUCAGACUCCAGCCCCUGCAGAAUGGAACCUGUGACCUCCUGAACGGUCUGUCUUCCCAACUCCUGCCCCAGCCUGGGCCCCAUGGGGACACCUGUGUGAAUGGUGUGGCAGGGAGACGGGCAGAGCCAUGGGUCGGUCCUACCUCCCCAAAACUUUGGAAGUCACCAUUGUACUUGUAAAACACAGCUUUUCUUUUCCCCUUUUUUUCCUUCCCUUCCCUUCACUUCCUUUCCUUUCUCUUCCCCUCCUUUGUUCCCUGCCUCCCCCCUUCCUUUCUCUUCUCUCCUCCCCUCCCCUCUCCCCUCUCUUCUCUACCUUCUCUCUCUUCAGUGCUGCAGAUGGAACCCAGAGCCUCAUGCAUGUCAUGCAUCACCUACCACUGAACUUCACCCCCAGCCUCAUAUUCCUGUCUCAAAACUUGGUCUUACAGUUUUUGGUAAACAAUUCUAAAGACAAAGGAGAAGCUGGAAUUACUCAAUUCUGAUUUGUGAAUGCAUACAAACGUGUGCACGGGUCUGUGUAUGUACUAUGCAUGCAUACACCACAUGAAAGGGGGUCAGAAGAGACCGAGUCUCAUACCAUGAAGAGAACUGUCCUUCUCCGUACACGGCACUUGCCACCCAGCCCUGGAAGCAUCACUCAACCCCCUCUCUGUGACUCAUGCUAGAGAUCUGUCUCCCGUGACUCAGUGUCACUGCUGUGGUUUGAACACGGUGGUUAUCGUAACCCUCACGUGUUGGAAGGUGGGUCCCCAGGGUGGUGGUGUUGGGCAAAGAGGAAUCCUCUAGAGGAUGGGGCCUGGCCAGAAGUCCUCAGACAGCAACCACUUCUCCUGGGACCCUUGGUGUCACGAAAGCCGAAGCCAGGCCUCAGCUCUCCCAUUCUGGCCUCCUGCGUGGGAAUGUGAUGUCCUGCGUUGCUGUUGAUAUGAGGUACUUGCUUUCUAGCAUCACCUUGCCUCUAGGAUUGUGCUGUAGGAGUGAAACCUGACCAUGCAGAGACUGUUCUGGGAGAGCCGAGGGUGGGGUAGGCUGUGGUUCCCGCCCAGCCACAUGGUGGGAUUCCUGCCACAGAGAAACUCACCAGGAGUACAGUGGGACAAACAGAUGGGUCUCCCGUCUCCAGCUCUUCUCUCCCAGCCCUGGGAGGAGUGGUUCUAAAGGUCUGGGGAGACCUCUGGGCCCCCCAUCAGGCUGGCUGCUUCCUCAUCCCAAAAGGAGACUCAAGACCCCCUGCACCAUGUUCCGGGGCCCCCGUAACAAUGGGGCACACUUUUGGAGGGACCUGGCCAGCUCAGGUGGCCAGAACUUGUCAUGUCUCCUCACCCCAUAGGCUCCAGAGGUGCCAACCUGAAAGGCUGACAUGGAAGCCCUGGUGGCUUGCGGCUGUCAAAGGUCGCACCCACUGGGGCCUGGUUAACAGUGAAACCGGUGACUCAUAGCGCGCGCUUACCAUGCCCCUACUGCCAGCGUGGGACCAGAUGUGUGGCUUCGGUAUUUCGUGUGCUUGUCCUCGAAAGAGCUCUCAUCGGGUAAAUGGAACACAAAAGUAAACCC
ensembl:lincRNA